rnacentral:rRNA from 1 species
GAUGAACGCUGGCGGCGUGCCUAAUACAUGCAAGUCGAGCGAACGGACGAGAAGCUUGCUUCUCUGAUGUUAGCGGCGGACGGGUGAGUAACACGUGGAUAACCUACCUAUAAGACUGGGAUAACUUCGGGAAACCGGAGCUAAUACCGGAUGAUCUUUUGAACCGCAUGGUUCAACAGUGAAAGACGGUCUUGCUGUCACUUAUAGAUGGAUCCGCGCUGCAUUAGCUAGUUGGUAAGGUAACGGCUUACCAAGGCAACGAUGCAUAGCCGACCUGAGAGGGUGAUCGGCGACACUGGAACUGAGACACGGUCCAGACUCCUACGGGAGGCAGCAGUAGGGAAUCUGCCGCAAUGGGCGAAAGCCUGACGGAGCAACGCCGCGUGAGUGAUGAAGGUCUUCGGAUCGUAAAACUCUGUUAUUAGGGAAGAACAGAUGUGUAAGUAACUGUGCACAUCUUGACGGUACCUAAUCAGAAAGCCACGGCUAACUACGUG